rnacentral:ncRNA from 2 species
GAGUCGAACGGCGAUGGAGUCCGCCGGGGCUCGUCGAGAGCCCGAAGCGCCAGAGAAGGCUGAUGGCUCCUGCUCGCAG